rnacentral:rRNA from 1 species
UGGCGGCCUUAGCGCGGUGGUCCCACCUGACCCCAUGCCGAACUCAGAAGUGAAACGCCGUAGCGCCGAUGGUAAGUAGGGAACUGCCAGGCA